CAGUCGAGCGCGCCCUUCGGGGUGAGCGGCGGACGGGUUAGUAACGCGUGGGAACAUACCCUUUUCUACGGAAUAGCCUCUGGAAACGGAGAGUAAUACCGUAUGAGCCCUUCGGGGGAAAGAUUUAUCGGGAAAGGAUUGGCCCGCGUUAGAUUAGGUAGUUGGUGGGGUAAUGGCCUACCAAGCCUACGAUCUAUAGCUGGUUUUAGAGGAUGAUCAGCAACACUGGGACUGAGACACGGCCCAGACUCCUACGGGAGGCAGCAGUGGGGAAUCUUGGACAAUGGGGGCAACCCUGAUCCAGCCAUGCCGCGUGAGUGAUGAAGGCCUUAGGGUCGUAAAGCUCUUUCGCCUGUGAAGAUAAUGACGGUAGCAGGUAAAGAAACCCCGGCUAACUCCGUGCCAGCAGCCGCGGUAAUACGGAGGGGGUUAGCGUUGUUCGGAAUUACUGGGCGUAAAGCGCACGUAGGCGGACUGGAAAGUAUGGGGUGAAAUCCCAGGGCUCAACCCUGGAACUGCCUCAUAAACUAUCAGUCUAGAGUUCGAGAGAGGUGAGUGGAAUUCCAAGUGUAGAGGUGAAAUUCGUAGAUAUUUGGAGGAACACCAGUGGCGAAGGCGGCUCACUGGCUCGAUACUGACGCUGAGGUGCGAAAGUGUGGGGGAGCAAACAGGAUUAGAUACCCUGGUAGUCCACACCGUAAACGAUGAAUGCCAGUCGUCGGGUAGCAUGCUAUUCGGUGAC
rnacentral:rRNA from 1 species